GGCCGCGGUAAUACGAAGGGGGCUAGCGUUGUUCGGAAUUACUGGGCGUAAAGCGCACGUAGGCGGAUUGUUAAGUCGGGGGUGAAAUCCCGGGGCUCAACCCCGGAACUGCCUUUGAUACUGGGUAUCUGGAGUAUGGAAGAGGUAAGUGGAAUUCCGAGUGUAGAGGUGAAAUUCGUAGAUAUUCGGAGGAACACCAGUGGCGAAGGCGGCUUACUGGUCCAUUACUGACGCUGAGGUGCGAAAGCGUGGGGAGCAAACA
rnacentral:rRNA from 1 species